rnacentral:antisense_RNA from 1 species
GUCAAUGGCGGCUGUACGCGGGAGGCCUUGUGCCUGCCGGGUUUUGGGAACUUUCGACCGGUUUACCACCCUGCGUACAGCUGCCACCUAA